rnacentral:rRNA from 1 species
AUGUCUCAGUUUAAGCAGCUCCAUAGCAACACUGUGCAUGGCUCAUUAAAACAGCCACAACCUGGGUCGUGGUCCUGCUACAUGGAUAUCUUCGGCAAUUCUGCAGCUAAUACAUGCACCAGCAUUCACCUGUGGUGAGUUGUGGUUGUUGCAUUCAGAAUUAAUGCAAGCUGUGCUUGAUGACCAGACGAAUCAUUACAACUGCAUGGAUUGUAGUUUGUACACUGUUGAUGCUCUAUCAAGGUUUCUGACCUAUCAGCUUCCGAUGGCAGGGUAAAGGCCUACCGUGGCAGUGACAGGUGACGGAGGAUUAGGGUUUGACUCCGGAGAGGGAGCCUGAGAAAUGGCUCCCACAUCUAAGGAAGGCAGCAGGCGCGUGAAUUGCCCAAUCCUGAGAGAGGGAGGUAGUGACAAAAAAUAGCGAUACAAGGCAUCCAUGUUUUGUAAUUGGAAUGAGGGAUCAGUAAAUGUCGUUUUGAGUACCAAUUGGAGGGCAAGUCUGGUGCCAGCAGCCGCGGUAAUUCCAGCUUCAAUAGCGUAUGUUAGAGUUGUUGCAGUUAAAAGGCUCGUAGUUGGAUUUCUGCUGGAGAUUGCUGGUCCGCCCU